UACGAACUGUGCAAACGUUAUUCGGAAUCACUGGGCUUAAAGGGCGCGUAGGCGGCCUUCUAAGUCGGACGUGAAAUCCCUCGGCUUAACCGAGGAACUGCGUCCGAUACUGAAAGGCUUGAAUCCGGGAGAGGGAUGUGGAAUUCCAGGUGUAGCGGUGAAAUGCGUAGAUAUCUGGAGGAACACCGGUGGCGAAGGCGGCAUCCUGGACCGGCAUUGACGCUGAGGCGCGAAAGCUAGGGGAGCAAACGGG
rnacentral:rRNA from 1 species